rnacentral:lncRNA from 1 species
GUGGAAUUGAGCUUCUUGAGGUUACUAGUGUUGGGUGGUGUGGGUUUAGAUGAUGCAUUAUUGGAGCUAAGUUUAGUUUGGUUUUUGGAGGGAUUAAGGUUAUUGGAUUUGAGAGUUUUGGUUUGGUUUUUGGUGGAAUUAAGGUUAUUGGAUUUGAUGGUUUUGGUUUGGUUUUUGGAGGAAUUAAGGUUAUUGGGUUUGAUGGUUUUAGUAUUGUUUUUGGAGGAAUUAAGGUUAUUGGAUUUGAUGGUUUUGGUUUGAUUUUUGGAAGUGAAACUAUUAGGCUUGAUUAACUUGGUUUGGUUUUUGGUGGAUUGUGGGGUGGUUUUCUUCUCCUUUAGGUCUUUUUGGACCUCUAGCAUUGUUCUUCUAUG